rnacentral:rRNA from 1 species
UACGAAGGGGGCUAGCGUUGUUCGGAAUCACUGGGCGUAAAGUGUGCGCAGGUGGCCGCGCAAGUCGAGUGUGAAAUCCCCGAGCUUAACUUGGGAAUUGCGCUCGAAACUACGUGGCUCGAGUGUGGCAGAGGAAGGUGGAAUUCCACGUGUAGCGGUGAAAUGCGUAGAGAUGUGGAGGAACACCGGUGGCGAAGGCGGCAUCCUGGACCAACACUGACGCUGAGUGAGCGAAAGCCAGGGGAGCAAACGGG